GACGAACGCUGGCGGCGUGCCUAAUACAUGCAAGUCGAACGAGAGCAACCGGUGCUUGCACUGGUCAAUCUAGUGGCGAACGGGUGAGUAACGCGUGGGUAACCUGCCCAUCAGAGGGGGAUAACAUCCGGAAACGGAUGCUAAAACCGCAUAGGUCUUCGAACCGCAUGGUUUGAAGAGGAAAAGAGGCGCAAGCUUCUGCUGAUGGAUGGACCCGCGGUGCAUUAGCUAGUUGGUGAGGUAACGGCUCACCAAGGCCGUGAUGCAUAGCCGACCUGAGAGGGUGAUCGGCCACAUUGGGACUGAGACACGGCCCAAACUCCUACGGGAGGCAGCAGUAGGGAAUCUUCCGCAAUGGACGCAAGUCUGACGGAGCAACGCCGCGUGAGUGAAGAAGGUUUUCGGAUCGUAAAACUCUGUUGUUAGAGAAGAACAAGUGCUAGAGUAACUGUUAGCGCCUUGACGGUAUCUAACCAGAAAGCCACGGCUAACUACGUG
rnacentral:rRNA from 1 species